rnacentral:rRNA from 1 species
AUGGAGCCGACCUUGAAAUACCACCCUUUAAUGUUUGAUGUUCUAACGUUGACCCGUAAUCCGGGUUGCGGACAGUGUCUGGUGGGUAGUUUGACUGGGGCGGUCUCCUCCUAAAGAGUAACGGAGGAGCACGAAGGUUGGCUAAUCCUGGUCGGACAUCAGGAGGUUAGUGCAAUGGCAUAAGCCAGCUUGACUGCGAGCGUGACGGCGCGAGCAGGUGCGAAAGCAGGUCAUAGUGAUCCGGUGGUUCUGAAUGGAAGGGCCAUCGCUCAACGGAUAAAAGGUACUCCGGGGAUAACAGGCUGAUACCGCCCAAGAGUUCAUAUCGACGGCGGUGUUUGGCACCUCGAUGUCGGCUCAUCACAUCCUGGGGCUGAAGUAGGUCCCAAGGGUAUGGCUGUUCGCCAUUUAAAGUGGUACGCGAGCUGGGUUUAGAACGUCGUG